AACUAACGCUGGCGGCGUACCUAACACAUGCAAGUCGUACGAGAAAGCCGGCUUCGGCUGGUGAGUAAAGUGGCGCACGGGUGAGUAACGCGUGGAUAAUCUGCCCUUAAGUGUGGAAUAACGUACCGAAAGGUGCGCUAAUACCGCAUAAUGCCUGGCAACACAAGUUGUCCGGCCAAAGAAGGCCUCUGUUUACAAGCUUUCGCUUCAGGAUGAGUCCGCGUACCAUUAGCUUGUUGGUGGGGUAAUGGCCUACCAAGGCUGCGAUGGUUAGCUGGUCUGAGAGGAUGAUCAGCCACACUGGAACUGAGACACGGUCCAGACUCCUACGGGAGGCAGCAGUGGGGAAUAUUGCGCAAUGGGGGAAACCCUGACGCAGCAACGCCGCGUGAAGGAGAAGGCCUUCGGGUUGUAAACUUCUUUGAUCGGGGACGAAAUAGACGGUACCCGAGGAACAAGCCACGGCUAACUACGUG
rnacentral:rRNA from 1 species